rnacentral:rRNA from 1 species
UACAGGGGGGGCAAGCGUUGUUCGGAAUUACUGGGCGUAAAGGGCCAGUAGGCGGCCAACUAAGUCCGACGUGAAAUCCCCAGGCUUAACCUGGGAACUGCGUCGGAUACUGGAUGGCUUGAAUUCGGGAGAGGGAUGCAGAAUUCCAGGUGUAGCGGUGAAAUGCGUAGAUAUCUGGAGGAAUACCGGUGGCGAAGGCGGCUCUCUGGGACGGUACUGACGCUGAGACGCGAAAGCGUGGGGAGCAAACAGG